GACCUCUGCAAUAGGCGAAAGCUUGACAGGGUUACUCUGAGUGAUGCCCGUUAAGGGCAUCUUUUGGCACCUCUAAAAAUGGUGCAGAAUAAGGGGUGGGCAAGUCUGGUGUCAGCCGCCGCGGUAAUACCAGCACCCCGAGUGGUCGGGACGAUUAUUGGGCCUAAAGCAUCCGUAGCUGGUUCUGCAAGUCUUCCGUUAAAUCCACCUGCUCAACAGAUGGGCUGCGGAGGAUACUACAGGGCUAGGAGGCGGGAGAGGCAAGCGGUACUCAGUGGGUAGGGGUAAAAUCCACUGAUCCACUGAAGACCACCAGUGGCGAAGGCGGCUUGCCAGAACGCGCUCGACAGUGAGGGAUGAAAGCUGGGGGAGCAAACCGGAUUAGAUACCCGGGUAGUCCCAGCUGUAAACGAUGCAGACUCGGUGAUGGGCUGGCUUUGUGCCAGCCCAGUGCCGCAGGGAAGCCGUUAAGUCUGCCGCCUGGGGAGUACGGUCGCAAGACUGAAACUUAA
rnacentral:rRNA from 1 species